rnacentral:rRNA from 1 species
UACGAAGGGGGCUAGCAUUGUUCGGAAUUACUGGGCGUAAAGCGCACGUAGGCGGGUAUUUAAGUCAGGGGUGAAAUCCCAGAGCUCAACUCUGGAACUGCCUUUGAUACUGGGUACCUAGAGUAUGGAAGAGGUGAGUGGAAUUCCGAGUGUAGAGGUGAAAUUCGUAGAUAUUCGGAGGAACACCAGUGGCGAAGGCGGCUCACUGGUCCAUUACUGACGCUGAGGUGCGAAAGCGUGGGGAGCAAACAGG